UACGGAGGAUGCGAGCGUUAUCCGGAUUUAUUGGGUUUAAAGGGUGCGCAGGCGGGGGAUUAAGUCGGCGGUGAAAUUUUGCAGCUCAACUGUAAAAGUGCCAUUGAUACUGGUUUUCUUGAGUGUGGAUGAAGUAGGCGGAAUUUGUGGUGUAGCGGUGAAAUGCAUAGAUAUCACGAGGAACUCCGAUUGCGCAGGCAGCUUACUAAACUACUACUGACGCUCAGGCACGAAGGCGUGGGGAUCAAACAGGAUUAGAUACCCGGGUA
rnacentral:rRNA from 1 species